rnacentral:lncRNA from 1 species
UUUUUUUUUUUUUUUUUUUUUUUUUUUUAGUGGCAAAGUCAAUCUCAAUGUUUCAAGUCUGGAUUUAGGCAACUACAUUUACUAGGAUUUUUUAAAUUGUAUCCCUUAGCAUGUUGUUUAUUUGGUUUUUACUUAAAUGUUUACUUCUAAUGUUUUCCUAACAUGGUCUCAUUUUGUAAUGUAAAUUUGUAUUAAAUGCCAUACACACAUUUUCAUUCUUCUGCUAAAACAUGUAUUGUGUGCACUUACUAAAUUUUAAAGCAUUAAAAAUUAUUUCAAAAUA